GACGAACGCUGGCGGCGUGCUUAACACAUGCAAGUCGAACGCUGAAGACCUGGCUUUUGUUGGGUUGGAUGAGUGGCGAACGGGUGAGUAACACGUGAGUAACCUGCCCUCUUCUUUGGGAUAACGCCCGGAAACGGGUGCUAAUACUGGAUAUUCACUGAUCUUCGCAUGGGGGUUGGUGGAAAGGUUUGUUCUGGUGGGGGAUGGGCUCGCGGCCUAUCAGCUUGUUGGUGGGGUGAUGGCCUACCAAGGCUUUGACGGGUAGCCGGCCUGAGAGGGUGACCGGUCACAUUGGGACUGAGAUACGGCCCAGACUCCUACGGGAGGCAGCAGUGGGGAAUAUUGCACAAUGGGCGAAAGCCUGAUGCAACGACGCCGCGUGAGGGAUGGAGGCCUUCGGGUUGUAAACCUCUUUCGCUCAUGGUCAAGCCGCAACUGUGGGUUGUGGUGAGGGUAGUGGGUAAAGAAGCGCCGGCUAACUACGUG
rnacentral:rRNA from 1 species